rnacentral:rRNA from 1 species
AUUGAACGCUGGCGGCAGGCCUAACACAUGCAAGUCGAACGAGUGGCGGACGGGUGAGUAAUGUCUGGGAAACUGCCUGAUGGAGGGGGAUAACUACUGGAAACGGUAGCUAAUACCGCAUACCAUCGGAUGUUCCCAGAUGGGAUUAGCUAGUAGGUGGGGUAAAGGCUCACCUAGGCGACGCUCCCUAGCUGGUCUGAGAGGGUGACCGACCACACUGGAACGGAAACACGGUCCGGACUCCUACGGGAGGAAGAGGUGGGGAAUAUUGCACAAUGGGCGAAAGCCUGAUGAGGCAAUGCCGCGUGUAUGAGAAGGGCCUUCGAGUUGUAAAGUACUUUCGGCAGGGAGACGUUACCCACAGAGAAAGGACCGGCUAACUCCGUGCCAGCAGCCGCGGUAAUAC